CGGAGAUAGCCAUCGCGAUUCAUAUUCGCCGUGCGGGAUUGGGCGCCGAAGUGGAUUGCCGUGGGACAGGCUCAUUCCUAGGGUGGGGAUGAUGACUACCACGGGACCAUUAGGCUCGGCACCGGCCAGACAGCCUAUGGGUGGGUCUCAGGGCCAUAGACAGCCUUUGGGUGGGUCUCUUCAGAUUUGACUUUGAGUACUCAUUAUGACAUGUGGACAGAUGAUGACUUAGUGUACUACUUGGACAUUGACUAGAAUAGUAAACAACGGAACUUUACUGUUUCGCAUUGUGAACAUUAUGAUAGUUGGAGACUUUUACUUCAUGCAUAGUUGCUUCAUACUUAUGCUAAUUAUGCUAAGUAGAGAUAUCAUGUUGUAGUAAGACACAUCCUUACUUACCUUUUGCUUUUCUACAUUUAUAGUCACUGACAUCUUUUGUAGCUUUGGGCCUUGUGGUGCAUUCACUGAAGUCAGUAAUUGCCCACUGGGAACUAUUUUUAAUAGUUCUCACGCCCCUGUUUUAUGGUUUACUUUUCAGAGCCUUCGGCACCGGCGGAGGCACGGGAUCGCGGCAAGGGGAUCGCUUAGCUAGCUAGCGAGGAGCGGUACUUUGCCUAGGUGGUUUACUCUUUCUUUUUGUAGUUGAGAGAGAGUGAGAGGUUUUUGUAUCCAUGUAUAGAGACCGCCUAUGUAUCUACCUAUAGCACUUGUAUCUGGGAUUUCCUGGUAUCACUUUAUGUUUUAUUUAGUGGACUUACAGUUUUAUC
rnacentral:lncRNA from 1 species